rnacentral:rRNA from 1 species
UACAGAGGUCCCAAGCGUUGUUCGGAUUCACUGGGCGUAAAGGGUGCGUAGGCGGUCGGGUAAGUCUGAUGUGAAAUCUCACAGCUUAACUGUGAAACUGCAUUGGAUACUAUCCGGCUAGAGGAAUGGAGGGGAGACUGGAAUACUUGGUGUAGCAGUGAAAUGCGUAGAUAUCAAGUGGAACACCAGUGGCGAAGGCGAGUCUCUGGACAUUUCCUGACGCUGAGGCACGAAAGCCAGGGGAGCAAACGGGG